AGCAGCCGCGGUAAUUCCAGCUCCAAUAGCGUAUAUUAAAGUUGUUGCAGUUAAAAAGCUCGUAGUUGAAUUUCGGGGUCAGUAGAUUGGUCGUGCCACUGGUAUGUACUGGUCUCACUGGCUCCUCCUUCCUGAUGAACCGUAAUGCCAUUAAUUUGGUGUUGCGGGGAGACUGGACUGUUACUUUGAAAAAUUAGAGUGUUUAAAGCAGGCUAACGCUUGAAUACAUUAGCAUGGAAUAAUGAAAUAGGACGUUCGAUCUUAUUUUGUUGGUUUCUAAGAUUGACGUAAUGAUUAAUAGGGAUAGUUGGGGGCAUUAGUAUUCAAUUGUCAGAGGUGAAAUUCUUGGAUUUAUUGAAGACUAACUACUGCGAAAGCAUUUGCCAAGGAUGUUUUCAUUAAUCAAGAACGAAAGUUAGAGGUUCGAAGGCGAUCAGAUACCGCCCUAGUUCUAACCAUAAACUAUGCCAACUAGCAAUUUGCUUACGUAUGCUUUAUGACUAAGUGAGA
rnacentral:rRNA from 1 species